UGUCCUCAGGAUCACAGAAAACAUCAGGAUUUGACUUGGGAAGUUUCAUUGGUGGUAUUGUGUUGACAGUGGGCAUCCUGGCAGCAAUAUACUUUGGUUGCCGAUUUUAUAACUCCAGGAGGGGCGUACGCUACCGCACCAUCGACGAGCACGAGGCUAUCAUUUAACUUGGCUGAUGGUGAAGCGCUGUGCAAUAAUCUUUCUGUGGAAUCUGCUUGCGUCUUUGGAAACUGAAGUUAUGCAAA